AGAUGCCUACGGGGGGCAGCAGUGAGGAAUAUUGGUCAAUGGGAGGGAUCCUGAACCAGCCAAGCCGCGUGAGGGAAGACGGCCCUAUGGGUUGUAAACCUCUUUUGUCGGAGAACAAAACCCGGGACGAGUCCCGGACUGCGUGUAUCCGAAGAAAAAGCAUCGGCUAACUCCGUGCCAGCAGCCGCGGUAAUACGGAGGAUGCGAGCGUUAUCCGGAUUUAUUGGGUUUAAAGGGGGCGUAGGCGGUCCGUUAAGUCAGCGGCAAAAUUGCGGGGCUCAACCCCGUCGAGCCGUUGAAAAGGG
rnacentral:rRNA from 1 species